GACGAACGCUGGCGGCGUGCUUAACACAUGCAAGUCGAACGGAAAGGCACUGCUUUUGUGGGGUGCUCGAGUGGCGAACGGGUGAGUAACACGUGAGUAACCUGCCCUUGACUUUGGGAUAACUUCAGGAAACUGGGGCUAAUCUCGGAUAGGAUCUCCUGUUGGAUGGUGGGGGUUGGAAAGUUUCGGCGGUUGGGGAUGGACUCGCGUGUUAGCACCUUGUUGGUGGGGGGGUGGCAUACCAAGGCAUUGACGGGUAGCCGGCCUGAGAGGGUGACAGGCCACAUAGGACCUGAGACAGGGCCCAGCUGCCACAGGGGGCCACCGGGGGGAAUAUUGCACAAUGGGCGGAAGCCUGAUGCAGAAACGCCGCGUGCGGGAUGACGGCCUUCGGGUUGUAAACCGCUUUCGCCUGUGACGAAGCGUGAGUGACGGUAAUGGGUAAAGAAGCACCGGCUAACUACGUG
rnacentral:rRNA from 1 species